UGGGGAAUAUUGCACAAUGGGCGCAAGCCUGAUGCAGCCAUGCCGCGUGUAUGAAGAAGGCCUUCGGGUUGUAAAGUACUUUCAGCGGGGAGGAAGGGAGUAAAGUUAAUACCUUUGCUCAUUGACGUUACCCGCAGAAGAAGCACCGGCUAACUCCGUGCCAGCAGCCGCGGUAAUACGGAGGGUGCAAGCGUUAAUCGGAAUUACUGGGCGUAAAGCGCACGCAGGCGGUUUGUUAAGUCAGAUGUGAAAUCCCCGGGCUCAACCUGGGAACGGCAUCUGAUACUGGCAAGCUUGAGUCUCGUAGAGGGGGGUAGAAUUCCAGGUGUAGCGGUGAAAUGCGUAGAGAUCUGGAGGAAUACCGGUGGCGAAGGCGGCACCCUGGACGAAGACUGACGCUCAGGUGCGAAAGCGUGGGGAGAAAACAGG
rnacentral:rRNA from 1 species